CGACAAUUCUCACGUAUCCAUCUUCAUCCAUUGAAGCUUUAUCCCUUUUCAUGUAAACAGAUAAAAAUAUAGAAUAUCUGACGACACUCUAUACUAUAGUAUAUAGGCCAUAUAGACCCUUUGGACAUGACGUCACAGUAUAGCGAAAGCUAGUUAGGAGAAUUUACUUCGUUAGUUGCUUUUUGUCUGGCCCGAACAUUCAACGUUCGUAAAACAACAAGGCAAGAAUUCACUAAGAGACAUGUCUUUGGGAUUAUAACGUCAGGGCUACUGUACGUAAAAUUUAACUACCUGUCAGCGUUAUAGCAGUACACAUUGUAAUUGGUGCUUAUGUCUGGAUGGCUAUGCAAGAGAGUGAAGAUACCUAUAAAGAUAACCAGACAUCCAAAGAAGACUAAUACUGAGGGCCAAGAAGCCAAUAAGACUGUGUGCAAUGCUGAACACUGAUCACAUGACUGGAAUAAGUAAACAUGUGAAGAUAAGAUAGCUAGCUCAUGAAAAUUAAAUAGAUCGUGAGAGCAAAUUCCAUUUCAUCCAAAGACAAGGUGGUUCUAAGUUGAAAACAAUGAAGUUGUGACAUACACGUAACUAGAUAAUGUUUAAUUGUAUCGUAUUAGAGAAAUUAAGAUAUUCAUAUACUAGUCUGGUCUACAGGUAAAGGUAUCGUUAUCAUCAUGCAUUAUCAAUCGAACGUUAGUUGAGGGCGACUAUAUUUAUAUAUUCUGUUAUGCAAGGCUCUUCGCGUUCUAUUGAACUUGAAAUUGCUUUCAAAAGAAAUUAGCCAGGCAUAGCAGAAUAUAUGAGUAUGGGCCCCCGAUUGACGAUAUUGAUUAAUUUGUUCAAUGAAUUUCUAGCGAUUUCGGAUAGCGCUAUCCACCGGAUAGUGAUUUUUUAACCGUUCUAAACUGAAUGCUCGAAAAGCGAUAAAAUUUCAU